rnacentral:rRNA from 1 species
GCAUAUCAAUAAGCGGAGGAAAAGAAAAUAACAAUGAUUCCCUUAGUAACGGCGAGCGAAGGGGGAAUAGCUCAAAUUUUAAAUCCGUUAGGUUUUACCUAACCGAGUUGUAAUUUGAAGAAGCGUUUUCCGCGAUUUCGUAUUAGCCCAAAUCCUUUGGGAUAAGGUAUCAUGGAGGGUUAGAAUCCCGUCCGGCUAAAUCGAGGUUGCAAUACGAUGCGCUUUCUAAGAGUCGAGUUGUUUGGGAUUGCAGCUCAAAAUGGGAGGUAAAUUUCUCCUAAGGCUAAAUAACGGCGAGAGACCGAUAGCGAACAAGUACCGUGAGGGAAAGAUGAAAAGAACUUUGAAAAGAGAGUAAAACAGUACGUGAAAUUGUUGAAAGGGAAACGAUUAAAGUCAGUCGUACGGACGGGGAAUCAACCUUUCGGGCGUGGAUUCGUGGGAUUCAAAGAGAUUUGUCCUCGCGGCAUUCGCGUUCUUUUGGUGUACUUUCUCGUAACGUAGGUCAUCAUCGGUUUCGAUCGUCAUAAAAUGAUCGGAGGAAUGUGGCUUCGACCUCGGUUGAAGUGUUAUAGCCUUUGUUAAAUGUGACGGUUGGGACCGAGGGUUGCAACGGACGCCCGUCAGGGCCACCCGCCUGGUCUCUGAUUCGUCACUUUGGCGUUGAAAGCUUGCUUACGACGUUAAAGCGCGCGGUCAAAAGGUCAGAACGGGUUAAGUUCGUUAAGGAUGUUGACGUAAUGGCUUUAAACGAC